CAAUUACUUAGGAAGAAACAAAAUAAUAGCAAGGGCUAAGAAGGGUGGAAACGGGAGAAGAGUUUAGCACCAAGUAUGACUAGGAUGGAAGCUUAUGUAAAAAUCAACAAAGGUGGCAGCUGCUGUGGGAUCGAAAGGGGGCCCUUCGAUUCAUCUCUUCACCUUCAAGCUUUUUUAAUGGAGAAUUUGAUGAAUUUAGCCGGGAGGGAGGAGAGUCUACAAAGAACAUGAGGAUGUAAGUUACAAGCAUAGAAUUAGAAACAGCCCCAUUGCAGUCAUGAAGACACCACAAGGCUGAAAGUCAACCAGAAACAGAGAUCCAAGCUACGCAGAGAGUUGGACUCGUGAUAGUGCACGUCUCCUUCAAAAAGUCCUAUUUACUUCUUUCUCCAGAACAAACCAUCAUGGCUCCUUCCACCCUGUAGGUUCAGCAGAGCUGAGGACUGGUGAAAAGACCCAAGUUGGAACUGACUCUUCUGUGAUAUGGGCAAGCUUAUUUUUUUUAUAGAAGUUUCUCAAACGCCCAAAAAACGAUGUCGAAGAAAUGAGUGCUCCGCCCUACAGACUGGUUACAUUCUACCGAGACACAAGUGCCAUAACAAGUAGAGGAAGUUAGGUGCUCUUGAUACCAACAAAAAACAUUACCUAGUGGGAGAAAGAAAGACAGGGCCUUCUAAUUGUAAAAGAGUGGAAAGAUACUUUCAUAAUUAUAGGGCUACGGUGACAGCUGCGUAUACUGUCCGCUAGCAUGCGCUGCAGGUGGUAAUCCAACCAUGUGCAUCCCAGCCACUGAAUGGAAAACAGUGGGGGGUGGCCCUUUUGAAUCCUAUAUAAUUGCAGACAUUUUAAGCAACUAUCAUUUCAAUACUGUGUAAAGUAUGGCUUAUUUUUUUUUUUCAUAGUAGAUUUUCCUAUCCAGCAGAGCUUUUAAGGAUCAGGCUUCAAGUGUUUGUCCCUCAUUUUGUUUAAAAUUCUGCCUUUGUCAUUUUCAUAUACUGAGGCAAACACGAAGGUUAACAGCUACAAAGUCUUCCUCCUACAAGAGCGUUUGAUUAAGAUCUUGUCUUUUUUAUUAGCAUCCCUAAAUGU